CGGGAUAUAGCUCAGUGGUAGAGUGCUUGCCUAGCAUGCAUGAAGCCCUGAGUGCAAUCCUUAGUGUUGCCA
rnacentral:tRNA from 1 species